CAAAACUUAACUUAACAACGGGCUCACAAGGUUAUGCUCCGCCUACCUGAUCAGGGUAGCGCACGCCCAUAACCUUCCCUAGGUGGAGGCACCGACCAGAGGCAUGACAAUAGACCGCAGUAAGGCCAUCCCAUACUGGCAAAUGUGGUUGCACUUGGAAAAAUUUCAAUUUGGCGGCACUAUGACUCGAUCCCAUCGAUGACGGAGGGGUCUUGUUAUUAAGUCAUAUUAUUAUCUUCUCCAGCAUCAAUCAUCAUACCAGCAUUUUAACAUGAAUGCAACCAUGAGCAUACAUCAUACAAAUUCUUCUCAAGUGAACACUUACAGCAUAAAGAACAUGACAAUACCAAGUACUAACAUAUCCAUGGUGCAUUACCAUCAUCAUAGUAUUUUAUAACGAUGACAUGAAAAUAAAUUAGAGUAGUGACAUGGCAUCAUCAAUAACAACAUUCUAAUUAUCAUGGCAAAAUAUAUCAUGAACACACAAGCAUGAUAAGCAUAAUGAAAUAACUGCAGACGAAAACAAUAAGAAACAACUGCAACUACACACACACAAGGUGCAAGCAAAGUCAACGUGCAAGUUCGGGGCUCAUGAUAAGAGGUUGGCUUGCCUGGGGGUCGACAAAUACUCCGGGAAGAAGUGGGAAACGAUCGAGGAAAAAUUGUCGGAAACAGUUCUCUCUCGGAGGGUGCUGUUUAUGGACAAGGGCAAAGAGGUCAUUUUCACAGUUUCAAACCAUAGUGAAAAUGAUGGGAGCGGAAUGGGCUCGAAGAGACAAAGACGUGGGCGUUCGAUUUACCUCAAUCGGAGUUACGGUUGAAAAGAUACGGACGUUUAAAACUCAGGGACUAAUUUGUAAAAAUACUUCUACAAACAGGUCCCUGGCAGUUUUAAACCGAAUGCGUCUUUUCUGAAAUACGUCUUCGAAUCGGGAAAAC
rnacentral:lncRNA from 1 species